GUGGAUUAGAUACCCUAGUAGUCCUGGCAGUAAACGGUGCACGUUUGGUGUGGGAGGAUUCGACCCCUUCCGCGCCGGAGCUAACGCGUUAAACGUGCCGCCUGGGGAGUACGGUCGCAAGAUUAAAACUCAAAGAAAUUGACGGGGGCCCGCACAAGCGGUGGAGUAUGUGGCUUAAUUCGAUGCAACGCGAAGAACCUUACCAGGCCUUGACAUGCAUUUCUAAGCGGGUGAAAGACCGUGAGUCCCGAAAGGGACAACUUGCACAGGUGCUGCAUGGUCGUCGACAGCU
rnacentral:rRNA from 1 species